CACACGAGGCCUCCACUGCGGUUGCGCAGCCCGCCGAAGAGCGUGCGACUUCUACUGCGGCUGCGCAAGCUCGGCGCGCGCACUCUUGUCUGUUUACGAGGGCUCCUCCCUUCAGCUUUGGUCCCUCGGGGCGUCUGGGCAGCCUACGCUUUCCGGGCGGGUCUGGGGAGGCAGCUGGCUCCGAGGCAAGGUGGAUCUCUGCAGAAGUACAGUCUAUAUAAAGACUGUCCAGGACAAAAACUGGCCACUCCAUUCAGCAUUGAGAGAAGUAUUUAAAGCUGGUAAGGUGAAGUUUCUCAAGAGCAAAGACAAUGCCUUCAUGCAUGUUCAGUGUCUGCCCCCGUGGGCUUUGAAAUGAGCACUGACAAUGGGGAAUCUGCAGUGACUUCUCUGCCUCUGCCAAAGCCCAGGGGUGCUGCUCCCUAAUUCUAAGGAUUCUAAUGAGACUCAGAGCAGGUGUAACACAGGGCAUGGAGCUUCCUGAGCAAGAGGCUGGCUAACAAGCUGGGGACGUGGUACUUAGACACAUUAAGAGACAUUAUAGGGACACCAGCAAGUAUGUCUCCCUGGGGAGAAGCCAAGUGCAGAUGCUAUGGCCACAGACGACAUGGUUUGGCUCUGUGUCCCCACUCAAAUCUCAUCUCAAAUUGUAAUCCCUGGGUGUCGAGGGAAGGACCUGGUGGGAGGUGAUUGGAUCGGUUCACAUGAUAGUGAGGGAGUUCUCACGAGAUCUGAUUGUUUGAUAAGUGUCUGGCAUUUCUCCUGUGCUGUCUCUCCUGCCACCUUGUGAAGAAGGUCCCUGCUUCUCCUUCGCCUUCCGCCAUGAUGAUUGUAAGUUUCCUGAGGCCUCCCUAGCAAUGCAGAACUCAUGACCCAUCCAGCUGGCACCAGCACCUGGGGCUGCCAGGCAGCCACCCCUGCAGCUGUGUUGACAGGGCCUGGCAGAGGGACUGACCCACCUUUGGAAAGUGACACCAGCAAUAUCGGGAUGUGACAACUGGAUUUAUGUUAAGAAAAUAGGAUUUUUGGUGUUCCUCUGUUUCCCAAAGUUUGAGACACUUUCAGACACUCUGCUUUGCGGUUGUGGCCAAUGUUACCCAUGGGUGGGACUUUUGCUUUGCUCUAGAUUUUUGUAAUACCCUAGGGAGUUUUGGGGGCCAAUGCUGAGAGAAGACCACAGGCUGACGCAUCAUGAGGUAUGUUGGUAAAACAGUCCCGGCUGGCUGAGAGGCCACUGAGGGAACAGGCCCAGGGUUUGGUUUGUACUCUGUGAGUCUUGGCCUGGCAGGGUCUCCCGCACAGCAGAGCUCUCUGAGUGGGAGCCCAGGGGAAGCAGGUUGUUGCCUGGAGCUGAGAGGCAGCUCUGUAUUCAGGAGGGGUGCCUGCCUUCCCAUCUCCCCUGUGACCAGAUGUCACAGAAACAUUCUCUCUUUACUCCCUAGACCCUCUGGGCAGGUCCACUAAGAGCAUGUAUUCUAGAACAUGCAGGGCCUGAAACUUCACAAGAUAUUUAGUACAUUCCUUAUAGAUCCUCUCAAAUGUGGACCGGGUGGUGUCAUCGCACCACCGUCAUCCCCUUGUUACCCCUGAGAACACAGCUUCAGAGAGGGUAAGUAACCUAUCUCAGGCCACACAGCCAGGACAUGGAGCUAGAUCCAUCCUAAGUCUUUCUACCACACACUCCUUUCUACAGUCAUGGGUUAAAGGAGGGUGCCAUGGAAUGGGUCAUCCAGUGUACACUGACAUCAGGAGGAGUUUCACAUUCAUACUCUCAUGGCAAAUGGUUCUGUUGCUCCCUGGUCCAAAGAUGAUCUUAAUAGUAGGAAAAACUCAUUUGGCAGAAGCAAGACUCAGCACACAGGCUCUCUGAGUCUUCUGUGGCUGGCCCUGCCCUGCCCUCCCCUCGCCAACCCCACUUGCAGAAUAAAGUUAGGGGGCUGUGAGGACUGAGGCCCGGCCUUGACAGGCACCCGCAGCCGGCCAAACUCCCACCUGCCCAGUUGGAGGGGUGCGAGAAGGCCUUGCUGCUCUGCACCACCUUCAUGGCCUCCCCUAGGGCGGCGCUGGCUUUCAGGCCGUUCAGCAGGGAUGAGUAGAAGGCAUGGAUGAACAUCUUAGAAGCAGCCACUGACACAGGCCACAGAGACACGAGGACACACUGAGCGCCGGCAGCCAGGAAGGCCCUUGUCAGCGCAAUGACCCCGUCGGCUGUGACUUUGCUGUUGGACUCCUGGGAGGAGCCAAGCACCACCAGCUUCACAGGCAGCUGCAGGUCCAGGACGUCAGCGGCGGUGCCUAACUUACUGAGAAUCAUGCUUGCUGUGAUGAGCCCUCGAAAAUCAUCAGGACUGGAUGGUAGGGGUCCUGAGAGGACUGGGGGAGGAGGCCCUGAUAUGACAGAGUGGACAGAGGCUGUGAAACCCAGGACGGCCAGCCUGCUCCAGAAUCCUCAUCCCCACAGACCUUCCUGUGUGGCUCCUAAAUAAGAGGAAACCCAUUCCUGAUAAGUCAGGGUAUUUGAAGAGUGAUUUUGUUUAAAUGGUGCAAACAAGCAAGCCAAUCUUGGGGAGACAGGGCUAAACUAAGUCCUUUAAGAAGCUGUACCUACUGACAAGAUUCUAGUUCCCUUCCACCUUACAUGCUGCAAAGUAAAAAGUAUCACUGAAUGAGAAAAUCAGCAUAAAGAAGCCCAAUAAUGUCUGCCUGAGUUUCCCCUAUGAUGACUUUUGGUACUUUUUGGGAAACAUUAAGUAUGAAGUUAUUUCAAAAUAAUUUUUUGGUGCCUCUGCUUGGUGAUGCCUUAAACUCUGGGUAAGAGAAACACCAGGUGCCUGUCAGGAGAUGGCCUCUUCCAGGUUUCUGGUUAAGCUACAAACAGCUAGCUGGCUGUUGUCAUCAAAAUAAAAGCUUUCUGAAGGUGGAGGCAUCUGAUACCCAGAAUGCUGCUAUCAGCCGGCACGGUGGGCCACUGGGUGGCAGGAGCGUCGAGAAGGCCAGCUCGCUUCCUAUCUGGGAUUCAGAAUCAGCCAUGGAAACUUGAGAGACCUAGAGAAAAUAACUUCUUUCACUUUGAACUGAUUCUUUGCUUCAUAAGAAAAGUAUUAUCCAGCCACAAAAAUGGUCAAAAUUCAGAUCUACAAAAACCUGUGAGGCCGAAACUGACCCCACUUAGGCCACGCCAAUGAGCACGUCAUCAAAGCAGCCAAGACAGGUCUUAUGGGGGCCACCCAUGCACAGGGCCCAGCCUCGGUUCCUAACCCCGCCUAUGCUUUGCACCACCGUAAGGAGGCCCAUCUGGGUAAGACCUGUCCCGCCCACCGUGGGGUAUUGGGGCAGAUGGGGUCUGAGGGCUCUGAGAGCAGCUGGCAGCUCAAGGGCAUCUGGAGUUGGAGGAUGGAGCAAUGCAGGCCCCUGUGGUAAAGACAGUCCUGCAGCCGGGCAGGCAGGGAUGCUGCAAGUGGAGGGCCAGGCAGGUGCGGAGCCCUGUGGGACUGUGGAGGGGUCAGAGGGAAGCCAGGAUUUUGGGGUCUCUGAGAGUUUGGAGAAGGGGAAGAAGAUUAAAGCUUGGCUCAAAAGUUUCUAAUCAGGUGGGCAGGGCCAAGGGUGGCUGUGGGGUGAGACCCAUGACUCAGGGUGGCCCACUGUUACUCUCUUGAUUUUGUGGCAUUUUUUUUCCAAAUUGAUUAUUCUUGCUGAAUGAGACCUGAGUCCUUGACUGUCCCCUUAAAGCCACCUGACUUGUUUUCAGUUCCACUGGCCUGUUGGGCUGUUUUCCACUCAACUCCACUCUUACUUGUCUGCCCUCCCUGCUUGGGGCCCAGCCAGCAGUCAGCUCAAGGGCCAGGUGAAUUGGGUGGCUGUGCUCUGCCCACUGGGCAUCGUGUGGAUGGUGGGUGACCAGCCCCCUCAGGUGCUCAGUCAGGCCUCAAGCCUCGCUGUGUACCUCAGAGCAGCUCAGUACCCUGAUGUCGCAGCAAAGAAACUUAGACAUGACACAAAUUGUGGCUUCCCAAGGCAGCAAAGAAUGGCCAGGGGUCAUGAGGGUCGUGUCCCGCUUUUGGACAGACCUACUCUAAAGUCACGCUACCUGCGUGCAAAUCAUAAAAUCAACACUUUUGAGGAGAUCACAGCUAUGCCUUAGUAACACAGCCCAGUCAGACCAGAUAGACGGUGGCUCAUGACCCCGAGAACAAGCCCCCGGCCCCCCACCAUGUGUGUGAGCCUUACCUUGGACUGCACGCUGAGGGAGCGGAUGGAAGGGACAGCAAGGAGGCCGAAGCGCUCGUAGAGGUACUCGUUGGAGGAGCUUCCCUUCAGGAGGGCGAAAGGAAUGAGGUAGAGCUCCCCCUCCAGAACCAGGAUGAGCUGCCGGUGCCGGCCCACGGGGCCGCUGGAGUGCAUCAGGCCCUAUGGAGCAAGCACGGAGAGGCUCACAAGGGUGGCCCAGCAGGCAGGGGUUUCAGGCACCAGGACAACCCUGAGCCCUGGCCUGGAUGACACAAGCACAAGCAGAACAACGCUAAGGCCACGGGCAUCUUAAUGAGAACAGCAGGCAACAAUCCUGGAAGCUGGGUCCACACAGACUGAGGUGAACAAAGAGGUGGCAUGGAAGCUGCUGCUGCAGCCCAGAGCCUGCCAAGAAGGUCCCAGGUCCACAGAGCCUGUGCAACACUGGGUGCCAGGGGUGGGGCUGGCCUGCCCCCCAACCCCAUCUGCUGAGGAGUGGCUGACAAGCGGACACCCACCAGGGUGCCACUCGCUUGUGCCUGGGGAAGCAAAUGUGCUCGCUUGACCCGUCUGAUGUGCUGCCGUGGGCACUUGACUGAGAGUGGCAGGGCACUAGGCUAACCCAAAGUGACACAUGCCUGGCGGGACGUUCAGUCUCUGUAAACCCCUAUGGUUUUUUUUUUUCUUUCUUUUAAAAAAAAUUUCUAGCUCCAUCUAGUGAAAGCAGAAAUAAAAAUUAUUAGGCCAAUUUGUUUUUCGUUUGUUUGCUGUAAGAGCUACAGUAUGGGCCAGGCAUGGUGGCUCACACCUGUAAUCCCAGCACUUUGGGAGCCCAAGGCAGGAGGAUUAUCUGAGGUCAGGAGUGCAACAUGGUGAAACUCCAUCUCUACUAAAAAUCCAAAAUAACCGGGUGUGGUGGCAUGCACCUGUAGUCCCAGCUACUCAGGAGGCUGACGCAGGAGAAUCCCUUGAACCCAGGAGGCGAAGAUUGUAGUGGGCCAAGAUUAUACCAGUGUACUCCGGCCUGGGGGACAGAGCGAGACUGUGUCUCAAAAACAACAACAAAAGAGCUACAGUAUUUCCCAAGAGGAGGUAAAUUAAUCACUGUUCAAUUGUGCAACCUAGGCAGGAAGAAGUAGGGGUGUGUCACAGUGACCCCAACACUGUCUAUAGAUGAGCUCUGGGUUAGCACAAGGAGGAGAAAGAGCUGUAGGCACGUGGGCCCCAUGGCCUGCCAUGGGCCACACCUGAGCUCCCUGGCUGGCUCCAUAGGUAGAGGUGGCUCAGGGGGCUGCUCUGGAGGGCAGUUCCACCAUACCGUGGAGGUGUGCCAGUGAACCUCGAACCAGCAGCAGUGACACAGCUGAUGCUGCUCUGACCCUGGUGACAGGGUCAGCAGCUGUGACAGUGAUGACCACCUGCUGCUCACUGGGAACUGUGCUGCCUGAGAAUGGGUAGUGCGGAGCUUAAGCCACCUGCCAUGUGCAAAACUGGACCCACCUCCACUGUUCCAGAGUUGCAGGGCUUUGUUGUGACAAGAUGCCAGCCCCAGCCCCAGCCCCAGGCCUGCAGGUCCUCCCUGGGCUCCUGCUGUCUAGGCCCAAACCACAGUAAGUUUCUGUCAGAUGUCAUCCCACAGGCUACUGCCUUCACCAGGACACACGCCACUCAUAGACAAGUCCCUGGUCAUGACAGCACCUAACUGUGUGAACCGGAGGGAAGCUUGGCAAGCUGAAAAAUGGAGAAGUGAGGCUGGAAUCCACGCAGAGCAAACAUUCACUGGCAGCCCAUCUUUGUAGAACUCUGCUAACUCUACCCACAAAACCUCAUCUGCAGCACAAGCCUAAUGAUCAGAGAAUGCAUGUCCUUGAAGGCAGCUUGUCUGUCUUCUCCGACACGCCACCAGGGGUGGGGGGGCACCUCCUGUGGCCCUAUUGUCAGAAGUCUCCUAAGCUGGGCCUCAACUUUCCCAUCAGCCACUGAGUGGUGUCCAUCAUGUGCCUACUGGGGACUGUAGGGAAGUCAGAUAAAUUUAGGACAUGGUCCUUGCUUGCAGACUUACGAUGAUGUACUUAGAAAACUAAAAUGCACACAAGAGGCCAUUGCUGAGUGAAACUCAGUAUUGUCAAAUGUAACACCUUUAUGGUAGCAUGGCAGCCCCCAGAACGGGGAAAGCCUACCCAGGCUGACGCUGGGCCCACCCAGGAGGGUCCGUGAGGGCUGGGGAAGGCCUGGGCAGAUGCUGUUGCCAGGUGAGCACAAGGCUAAAGAGGGACAUGGGAGCCAGACUGUGGGGGCACUGAAGAUCAGGCAAGAAAGUGUGGUUCUUGUUGGCUGUCAGGACCUGCCAUGCCUUCUCAAGCUGAGCCCUGCAAAGCAUUGAGAGGCAGCCUGCCUGCCUGCGGGAGAGGGGGUCAUACCCGGGAGUAAUUCAUUCCAGGGCAUGCCCACCAAGAGAGGAGACAAGGAGACUUGCUGGGACUCAGUGAGAGUGACCUUAGCAGGUGAGGAGAAGUCUGAAGUCCAGGCCGGGAGAUAUGGAGGCUGUUCUCUGAACCUCAUAUCCCAAUUUGGAGGUCUGGAUCCUCCCUGCAUCAUGCCUAGGAGCUGGUACCGAGCUUGGCACAUGCAUACAACCCUGGGUGAAGGCCCCCAAAUGGGACCCCUGUCCAAACUCUGUGAAACAAGGCAGGUGACAGCCGCAGCUGUUCUCUGAAAUGUGUGGGUUUGUGGGGAGACGGGUAGAACAGCAGGCUGACAGCUCCCGUUCAAAGGGGGAAACUGAUUGGACAUGCUAGAGAUAAUGCCCAGGAAACUUGUGAGCUCUGUCUCUGGUAUAUGCGUGCUGUCCUUGCACUGAAAGAUUAGCUGUAAUCCAACGUGAACUUGAAAAGGGGAAAGCAUGCGACAUCUCUAUUCAGCUUACAUAUCAUCAGUCAGACUACAAAGGAGAGACAUCCAAGGAAACACUAUUCAGCACCUGGGCCUGUCAGCCUCGGAAAGGGCGUCUGCUGGCCUCUUAAGGCUUAGGGUUGAACAAUAAAGUGGCUCACGCACCAGCCUUACAGCAGCAACUACCAGAGUCUCCAACAGAUUACAUCAAAGACUCAGAUGUUCUGACCUCUGUAGUUUCUAGUAAUGGGAUUUCUGAAAGCAGAAGAUGACAGGGCCAGGUGCACUGGAAUCUGUCCCUUCCUCAGGGGUCCCGCCCUGUGCUCUCACCAAGGGGCUGUGACCCUGACUGUGGCAAUGCGAGUCCAGGCAGUAAAUGAUGCUUGAGAACUUACGGUGUUCCAGGCCAGGUGAGAGAGACGGGGAAAGACACAGUGCUGGGCAGGCAGGCCACCAUGCACGGCAUCGUGGGGCUGCCCUGGGGUGCGGUGAUGGCAGGGGUACCAUGAAGGUGCAGUCUUGUACAAGGAGAGGGUUGUUCCUUCUGACAGGGUGGGCAGUGAGUGCACUGGAGGUGGCUUUGUGCAGCUGUUGUCAGUUUACUGCCUCUCAGGUCCUGAAGCCCUUGUCACUAUCCACUCUAAGACAGGCUGCAUUCCUUCGGCUGUUUCUCCCAUGAUAUGCAGGGUGCUGAGCUGUGUCAGUGGAGUGCACUAAGGGGCACUGAGGAGGCAGGAGCCCUCCUGCUGGCCUGGGUCAGUGGUGGGUGAGGACAUCCAGAGGGGCCUGCCCAGCCACGGGCCCAGAGCGCUGUCCCGUUGCCACCUUGCUGUCUCGACCUGGUGAUAAUCUUCCCACACUCCUAAGGCCUCCUGCGUCUGCAGGUCCCUGGACUCCCUGGCACCCAUCACCGCUGGAAGCUGAUGGCUGCUCUCCUGCCCACACUCAGGGGGCUAGCGCUUGUCAGCAACCCCAGACUGGCUCUGGCCUGGCCAAACAGUGGACAUAUCUUUGUGUCCUGUGGGCUGAAUGACACCUCCUCCCAUGUUCAUUCUUUACUAGGUACACUCCCUCAGCCCUAGAGAACCACACAGCCUCCCUAUAUCUUACAGUUACUUGCCUCUCAUAGGUAAUAGUUCUCUAUACUGAACAUCCCUGGUUAGCCUAAGGUGUGGUUUCUGUCUCCAGAUGGACCCAGAGGAUGAAAAGCCAUGUCCAGUGGCCCAGGAAGGGAUGCUGCAUGCUGGGGAAAGAACAGGGGGCCUGAGGGGAGGCCCUGUCACGGAGUCUGAGUCAGCCUGCCAAGUCAGGGUUUUCCCAGCAUCUGGAAUUGCUAGAUGGGAGGCGAGGGGUGGGAAACCAGUAGGGUUGUGGGUAGGUGCUCUGCGCACUCCAAGACGACACUAACCUCUCUGCACCUUGGUUUCCAAACCCACAGGACAGCGCUAACAUCCAUUCCUCACAGGCCUAUGAGGCCAAGGUAGCUGCACAGUGGGUAAAGCAUCUAGCCCCAUGCCUGGCACUGGUGUGCACUCCAGAUAUAUUGGUCAAAUGAGAAUUUACAACUGUCUUCAGUGCUUGGAAUAAAGUGACACUGCCCCUAUUAUUUAUACUAUUCUUUUCUCCUGGCCCAUAAUCAUUUUUCCAGUAUUACUCAUUCCCUUUCUCUCUGGCGUUUACAAACAUUCACGUGGCUAAAACAGACAAAUGGCUUCUCUGGAACAUCCAGCUCUGAAUUUUAACCCAGAGACUAUGAGAGACAGAGGUCGUCACAUCCCCCUCACCUCAUCUUCACGUCACCAUCGCUAUCAUCCACACCUACUUACUGAGCCACCACCAAGCAGUUACCCUGAAGUCCAGUUUCCAAGCCCACAGUUCUCCCAGGCAACCCCCAACGGAUCCCGAACGUGUCUUUGGGUGGUGAAUUCUGAUUGGAUUGCCGUUUCGGUCAGCAGGACCUUCUGAAUAUGCCCUGGUGAGUACAGGUCGAGCUCUUCAGAAAGCACUCAUAGCAAAUGUUAUGUUGAUCAUGUCCUAAUCUGGAGUUUAAGAAAGACGUGCUCCCUGUGUAUCGCCAAGGUUAGAGGAUGUGCAGGCGACCUCCACAGGGCACCAGGGAGUUUCCUUUUUACUGGCGGACACGGUAGGCCUCUCAGGGGUUCACAGUAUCACAGGCCAGAGGAAUGAAAAUCUCUGAUCACCGUGGGGGAGGGAAAGAAAAUGCCUGGGUCCAUGAGCUUUCAGACUGAUUAGACUUGGGAUGAAAUGGACUUUACUGUCUACAAUAAGGAUUCCAGAGGCAAAGGGCUGCAGGGUAUCCAGAUACUCCAGAACUGUGUAUAGGGCUUCACAUUUUUUCCUGAUUCAUAUUUUUGAUGGAAUAAAUUUAUCAAACAGAACUGUUUAAGGUAGAGGAACCCCUUCUGUGAUGCUGGAAAUCCUGUCAUCAUGGGUGGAUACAUACAGUUUUGGCAAAGAUCACACACCUCUGGAAACCACCCUCAACCAUGACUGAAGCCCACCAAGACUGUAGAUACUGUAUUCCAGCCAGAAAUGGAAACGUGAGCAUUCAACCCAUUCAACUGUAUUCUUUGGCCAAACGACAGCCCACUGGUUUGCCUGAAGAACCUAAGAAGGUACUGGAGAAACGUGACCAAUGGCCAGCAAGAGCCAGAAGGGCCUGCCUGAAACCCAGGGUCCAACUUCAGUCAAAUCAGCUUGAAGGGACUGCUCAAGCUACAGGAGCCUCUGUGCAGUGGGCAGGGUUGGAGGGGCGGAGGGGAGCCUCUCUCUCUAUCUUGGCUGACCUGGUAAAAAUGAUCCCUCCACCCCUAGUGGCAGAAGACCCUGACCUGCCUGGAACCUGCCAGGGUAAGGCUAAGAUGGCUGCUUGUUGAACACCAGCUAGAAUAGGGCCAGCACGCAGAUGACACUCAAGUAACAGCAGCCAUCCAGGUGAGAAUGCCACUUACCACGUGAGAUCUUGCUGGUUAUCCUGGGUGCUGCCACCACUGGUUUUAGUCAUACAGACAGCUUGCAAGUAAUUGCCUCCAUUUUUCCUCCUCCUAAUCAGUUGUGAAAAUGCUUGUUGUCCUUGGGUGACGUCUGUCCUCAUUUGAAUAUCACUACAGAUGUCUCAAUCAGAAAUCAAUUAGACAGCCUGGUGGCGGGGCUGCCAGUCUCAAGGGCCUCAUCCUCUACCUCAUAUUGGAAUCUAGGUCUGAUUGUUUCUAAGAACAAAAAUUCCCUGGCUAUACCCAAGCCUCCCAAUCUAUUUAGAAAAUAGGCAACCACAUGGUCAGUCUCAUUCCUGUUGCAUCUGUUCUAGGAGAGGCCGACUUAUCCUGCUACCUGAUUUUGCAAGGGGUAUUUUACAAAACACAAGGGAGUCCUUUCCCCCAGGGCAGUGAUCACAGUCAUGACCCAACCAAGGCCAAGCCACUCUCAUAGCCGAGCCCUUGGCAGAGCUAGACCCCUGCUUUCACUCUUAGAUGAGAAGACUCAGGUGAAAUCCCUGAGCUCCAGUGCUUGGAAAGCAGUUCAACAGCCUAACAGACAUAAACAAGUUUUGAAUAAGUUUCUAGGAUUUUAAACAGGUGACUCUACACUUCAUGAAUCACAAGCUGAGGUGAAUGAGAUGUACUUUUCUUUCUGAUCAAAGUCAUUUGCUCUUGCUACCUGUCCUAGAACCUUGGUUUUUAAAUUUAAAUAUAGGAAACAGGGAAUUUAAAUAAAGGGAAAUAAAAAUAAGGAUAACAGACACUCUAUAACUAGAGAAAGUCCAGACUCCAAGGAUCCUGAAAGAUCCCCAAAUCUGAACCUUUGAAGAGUAACUUGACCAAACGUAAGGUAUUCCUUAAAUCUGGUUCCUUGAUUGUAGCAGCUGCUAGCUCUGGACGAAGGACCCAACUGAAAACUGACGGGUGAUUUGGGAUCUGAGUGGAUGAGUGGCUUUGCCUACAGCAGCCCUGCAGAGCCCUGCCACAAGUUUGCUGCUGAGGGAGGGACGCUGGAGAGAACUCUGAGGCAGCCUUGUGCCUUGAGGUGGUGGGGACAGGACUGGCCCAGAUCAGUCCAGGGCAAGAAGCAGGGAAGUCCAGGUCAGAGACAUGGGUUACUAUCCUUCACU